rnacentral:sRNA from 1 species
CUUGCACUGUGGAGGAGGAGAUGUCUGUGCCCUUGAAAGAACUGAUUGAGAAGCAUGCUGGUAAGGCCUGGGGCCAGCCAGGUGGUGGGUGGGUGCACAGUAGGGGCAGGUGUCCACGAAGAGAGCCUGGACGGGAGGGCUCAGGAGACGGGGCUGGGUCUAGGGGCUGACUAAGGGCCUGGGCUCAGGACUAGGCAGGUGUGCCGGCCCCAGCCCUGACCAUGCAUCCCUUUGGGGACCGACUUGGGGCCCCAGGGGGUGUCACGGGCGGCUGGGACAAUCUCCUUGCUGUGAUCCCUGGCGGCUCGUCUACCCCACUGAUCCCCAAGUCUGUGUGUGAGACGGUGCUGAUGGACUUCGACGCGCUGGUGCAGGCACAGACAGGCCUGGGCACAGCCGCGGUGAUCGUCAUGGACCGCUCGACCGACAUCGUGAAAGCCAUCGCCCGCCUCAUUGAGUUCUAUAAGCACGAGAGCUGUGGCCAGUGUACCCCAUGUCGUGAGGGUGUGGACUGGAUGAACAAGGUGAUGGCACGUUUCGUGAGGGGGGACGCCCAGCCGGCCGAGAUCGAUUCCCUGUGGGAGAUCAGCAAGC